rnacentral:rRNA from 1 species
AUACGGAGGGUCCGAGCGUUAUCCGGAAUCAUUGGGUUUAAAGGGUCCGUAGGCGGGAAUCUAAGUCAGUGGUGAAAUCUUGCAGCUCAACUGUAAAAUUGCCAUUGAUACUGGAUUUCUUGAAUUAGUGUGAAGUGAUUAGAAUGUGUAGUGUAGCGGUGAAAUGCAUAGAUAUUACACAGAAUACCAAUUGCGAAGGCAGAUCACUAACACUAUAUUGACGCUGAGGGACGAAAGCGUGGGGAGCGAACAGGAGUAGAAACCCCAGUAGUCC